UGUAUUUAUCCGUAAGCGGUGGUGCAG
rnacentral:sRNA from 1 species